rnacentral:ncRNA from 1 species
GGCUCCGUAGAGCAGUGCGGUUCUUGCGCUGUCCGGUGCGCUCGCGUCGGCCCUUGAAAAUCCGAGUGAGGGAGUGUGAUUUUCGUGCCGGACCGUACCCACAUCCGCAGCAGGUCUCCAAGGUGAACAGCCUCUAGUCGAUGGACCAAUGUAGGUAAGGGAAGUCGGCAAAACGGAUCCGUAACCUUGGGAUAAGGAUUGGCUCUGAGGACUGAGCCGGUCGGGCUGGGGACCUGAAGCAGGAACGGCACUGCACCGGGACUGGGCGGGGCUCGCCGUUCACGCGGCGCGGCCAAGCCCGGACCAGCGUCGGGACCUUCCUGUGGAAAGCCUCAGCUGCGCGGCGUCUGAGGGCUUCGUGCCCAAAGUGCUAUGCUUCGGCCGGCAAAAAACAGUCAACUCAGAACUGGCACGGACCGGGGGAAUCCGACUGUCUAAUUAAAACAAAGCAUUGCGAUGGCCGCUGGUCGGUGUUGACGCAAUGUGAUUUCUGCCCAGUGCUCUGAAUGUCAACGUGAAGAGAUUCAUCAAAGCGCGGGUAAACGGCGGGAGUAACUAUGACUCUGCGGUCGACUGUUUUGGGGCUCCCACAGUUUAGCUCUAAAAUGAAGGAAAAACCCUAGAAUUUUGCAAAAGAUGU